GAAAAUGGAUGGCGCUGUAGCGUCGUGCCUAUACUCGGCCGUCAACGGUACAGUGGGCGGCGACCUUCGCGGGCGCCGGGCCGUUAUACCUUGACGAGUAGGAGGGCGCGGCGAUGUGCGCAGAAGGGUCUGGGCGUGAGCCUGCCUGGAGCCGUCGCCGGCGCAGAUCUUGGUGGUAGUAGCAAAUACUCCAGCGAGGACCUGGAGGACUGACGUGGAGAAGGGUUUCUUGUGAACAGCUGUUGCACAAGAGUCAGUCGAUCCUAAGCCCUAGGAGAAAUCCUAUGUCGAUGGGAAGCCGUUUGAAAUUUGAUCGAUCUCCCGUUUAUUCGGGUGAGAGUUCUGAUAAAAUGUGCGACCCACGGGGCGAAAGGGAAUCCGGUUCCUAUUCCGGAACCCGGCUGCGGAACCGUCUUAUGCGGGCCCUUGCAUGAGAGCUCGACGGGGCAACCCGAAGAGACCCGGAGACGCCGGCGGGAGGUCCGGAGAGAGUUUUCUUUUCUCUAUAAGCGUUCGAGUUCCCUGGAAGCCUAUUGCAGGGAGAUAGGGUUUGGAACGCGAAGAGCACCGCAGUUGCGGCGGUGUCCGGAUCUUCCCCUCGGACCUUGAAAAUCCGGGAGAGGGCUACGCGGACAUCCGCGCCGGAUCGUACCCAUAUCCGCAGCAGGUCUCCAAGGUUAAGAGCCUCUAGUCGAUAGAAUAAUGUAGGUAAGGGAAGUCGGCAAACUUGAUCCGUAACUUCGGAACAAGGAUUGGCUCUGAGGAUCGGGGCGUGUCGGGCUUGGUCGGGAAGUGGGUUUGUGCCAACGUGCCGGGCCUGGGCGAAGUGAAGAUUUAUAUCGGAUCUGAGCUCGGUCCCGUGCCUUGGCCUCCCGCGGAUCUUCCUUGCUGCGAGGUGUUGGCUGACUUGUCGCGGGUUUAACGAUCCGAAGGACGGGCCUUCUAUCUCUUCGGCCGCCAUUCAACGAUCAACUCAGAACUGGCACGGACCGGGGGAAUCCGACUGUCUAAUUAAAACAAAGCAUUGCGAUGGCCCCAGAGGGUGCUGACGCAAUGUGAUUUCUGCCCAGUGCUCUGAAUGUCAACGUGAAGAAAUUCAAGCAAGCGCGGGUAAACGGCGGGAGUAACUAUGACUCUCUUAAGGUAUGCCAAAUGCCUCGUCAUCUAAUUAGUGACGCGCAUGAAUGGAUUAACGAGAUUCCCGCUGUCCCUAUCUACUAUCUAGCGAAACCACUGCCAAGGGA
rnacentral:rRNA from 1 species